AACCUGUGGGAGAACCCGGCGAGCUAAGCCAAACGGAGGGCGGGAGAGAGGAAGCGGCAGCUGGCGCCUCUCGGCAACUCUAACCCUCUGAUAGAGAUCGCCAAGAUUGGUAUCCAUAGAGCUUGCUGUGGUUUGAAUGUAUCCCCCAAAGUUCAUGUGUUGGAAACUAUUCUUAAUGCAAAAGUGUUAAGAGAUCCCGGAGAGCUUGUCCACUGCAACAGUGCAACACGCUAAGGGCUGUGUGGCGGCACAGGGGCUCUGAGCUCCUGACCUGAGUCAUGGGGACCUGAAGGCUGACACCCAGCCCUAUACCUACAAGCUGGGUGAGACCCCUGGCAGUUGCCUACACCCCUGCUGAGACCCAGUACCUCCCUGUAAAAUGGGGGAAAUAAUGCCUGCCUCACAGGGUUUCGAUGAAGGGUGAGUGAAAUAAGGAAACAUUUGGAAACCCCUUGGAGGAGAUCUGCCACAUGGCCUCCAGUGAACUGUAGACUCCUGCAUAGCCUUCCAAAGUUCUUCAUUUGGUGAAUAUUAUGAGAAAUGACACGUAUGACUUUCUCCCAAAUACGUGGCUUAAACCCAAAGUACAGUGAAAUCAGAACUGACCACACAGAGUAAUUGGGGCAAGGGAGUUAUUUGUGACACAAAGCCCUCAUCACUUUAUAAAAGUACUUGCUACUGAUUACAUUGAAAACCAGUCUUCCUGAGUAAAACAUGUUUUUUGUUUUGUAUCGUUUUUGUUUUUGUUUUUUUGA
rnacentral:lncRNA from 1 species